rnacentral:rRNA from 1 species
UACAGAGGCCACGAGCGUUAGGCGGAAUCACUGGGCUUAAAGCGUGUGUAGGUGGAUGGGUAAGUACCUUGUGAAAUCCCACGACUCAAUCGUGGAACUGCUUGGUAUACUGCCUGUCUUGAGGCACUCAGGGGCGAGCGGAACAGAUGGUGGAGCGGUGAAAUGCGUAGAUAUCAUCUGGAACGCCAAUGGUGAAGACAGCUCGCUGGGGGGUGUACUGACACUGAGACACGAAAGCCAGGGGAGCAAACGGG